rnacentral:rRNA from 1 species
GAUGAACGCUAGCGGGAGGCUUAACACAUGCAAGUCGAGGGGCAGCAUAGGGUAGCAAUACUCUGAUGGCGACCGGCAAACGGGUGAGUAACGCGUAUGCAACCUACCCUGUACAGGGGGAUAACCCGGAGAAAUUCGGACUAAUAUCCCGUAAUAAUAUCCGGAGGCAUCUUUGGAUAUUUAAAGUUCCGACGGUACGGGAUGGGCAUGCGUAACAUUAGCUGGUUGGUAAGGUAACGGCUUACCAAGGCUAUGAUGUUUAGGGGUCCUGAGAGGGUGGUCCCCCACACUGGUACUGAGACACGGACCAGACUCCUACGGGAGGCAGCAGUGAGGAAUAUUGGUCAAUGGGCGGAAGCCUGAACCAGCCAUGCCGCGUGCAGGAUGACGGCCCUACGGGUUGUAAACUGCUUUUCCCCGGGGCGAAUAACCCCCUCGCGACGGGGGAGUGCCGGUACCGGGGGAACGUAAGGAGUCGGCUAACUCCGUG